AAACACAGAAUGGGUAUGAGUGUGAAACUUCAUUUUCAUUGAUAUCUGCUCCGUGUGUCU
rnacentral:pre_miRNA from 1 species